UCACUGUUUGGUUUUUAGUGGAUCACCGAAAAGCGUUGGGUGUCGCGCCACGAAGAAGAAGGUAAUUUAACAUCUAGACCGCGAAGUGGCCACCCGCGUCAUAAUAAUGAUUCACAGCGGAGAUCUAUGGUCGAACAAUAUGAAAAUGUUGUCCCAAACAUGGAAUCUGGACGGAUAUCUGUCAAUAUGUGGGGCUGGAUUAGUGCCGCUGCACCUGGUGAACUAGUGUCAAUUGCAGGGCGCGCCACAGCUGCACAUUAUGUGGAAGUGUUACGUGACAGCAUACAUAACUAUUAUUCCCUGGCCAGCAAGAUCACCAGACGGGAUAUGCGAAAUGAGAGGACUGCAGAGGAAUUAGAGGCUCACUAUAUGGAAGUAUGGGAGAAUAUUAGAAGAACGGAUAUCUGUUUCAAUAUAGUCGGAUCCAUGCGGUGGCGCUUGCUUGCUUGGAGGUUAUAUUAAAUACUAAAACAAUUUAUUUAUAAAGUUAUAUCCAUUUUACUUUUUAACUCUUUAAACAUAGAACAUAAAGUAUUUUCUUCUCUUAACUUAUAUUAUGUUAAUAAUAUAGGUAAUAUCUUACUAAAAUUAACAGACAACAAAAGCAGCGCCACCGAAUGAUUACUAGUUUUUGUAAGGUUUAGCUUCAAUUUUCUUUUCUUUAUGAAAACGAUUACUUAAGCUAUAACCUUUAAAAUAGAU